GGCUCCGUGGCGCAACGGAUAGCGCACCAGACUUCUAAUCUGGGGGUUGUGGGUUCAAAUCCCACCGGAGUCG